rnacentral:rRNA from 1 species
GAUGAACGCUGGCGGCGUGCCUAAUACAUGCAAGUCGAGCGAACAGACGAGGAGCUUGCUCCUCUGACGUUAGCGGCGGACGGGUGAGUAACACGUGGAUAACCUACCUAUAAGACUGGGAUAACUUUGGGAAACCGGAGCUAAUACCGGAUAAUAUAUUAAACCGCAUGGUUCAAUAGUGAAAGACGGUUUUGCUGUCACUUAUAGAUGGAUCCGCGCCGCAUUAGCUAGUUGGUAAGGUAACGGCUUACCAAGGCGACGAUGCGUAGCCGACCUGAGAGGGUGAUCGGCCACACUGGAACUGAGACACGGUCCAGACUCCUACGGGAGGCAGCAGUAGGAAAUCUUCCGCAAUGGGCGAAAGCCUGACGGAGCAACGCCGCGUGAGUGAUGAAGGUCUUCGGAUCGUAAAACUCUGUUAUUAGGGAAGAACAAAUGUGUAAGUAACUAUGCACGUCUUGACGGUACCUAAUCAGAAAGCCACGGCUAACUACGUG